UCACUCAUUGCAAAAACCAAUACCAAAUUUGCUUAGUUGCUACCUCUAAUCUCUUUACCCAUUUCUCUUCAUAAACCAAAAUCUUCCAUACGAUGAUCCUAUUUAUGAACAUUAAUCUUUUCAAUUUGGCUUGCUUUUUUAUUACAAUGACCAAAAAGCAUUUUUGUCAUGGUGAAUGGCCAUUGAUUUUGGUGGAGUGUAUGUAUGUUUCUCUCUUAUUCUCUCCCUUCCCCCUCUCCUAGUUUAUUGCAAGCAAAAUAUUCAAGGGGAAUAAACAUCUAAUUUGGUUACAUACCACUUUGCUAAUGUGUUAUUAAGUUAUUGGAGUUCAAAUAUAGGAAAUAGAAGAAAAGUGUUUGAUUAAUUAAGGGUUCAAUCUUAGACAUUACUUGGUCUAAUGAUUUAGUAUAAUAACUAUAUUAAAAUAGUAUGAUUAGCUGUUUUUUUUUUAAAAAAAACAUUUCAUGAGUAAAACUCACACACACUAAUUUCUUUUUUUAUAAAAAAUAUCUCAUAUUUAUAUUUUGACUCCAAUAUAUUAAAUGUCUCUCGAUCUUUUAGCAUUUAAAUUAUAAUCAUGAAACUAAAUAAACAAUAUGAUUAGUUUUACAUUACGGCUAAUCAAAUUUUAAUCUUAUCAUAAUUAUAAUAUAUUUUUCUUAAAAAUAUGUUUACAUGUAUUAUUAUAUAAACAUUGUUGUGAAAUAUAGUUGGACAUCAUUGUAUACUUUUUUUGGUAAUUAGAAUGUCGUUGUUAAUAUUUAUUUUUUUUAUUAAACAUCAUUGUUAAUCUUAAUUUACACUAUUAAUAUAUUGUUAUUAACCUCAUGAUAAAAAUAUAUAUUUUGUAAGUUAAGAUUAACAAUAUUUUGUAAGUUCUUCUCUUCUUUUUCAAUAAGUUAUAUUUUUCUUCUUUAAUCUACAUUAUUAUAUUUGAAGCUGCUAGUUUGUGUAUAUAUAGGCCCAACACAACACUGUGGCCACAGUAGAUAAUAGAUCUUUAAUUAAAAAAAAAAAAAAAGAUAAUAGAUCUAGAACUAGAACCACAAAUUUGAAGCCUCAAGGAUAGGGUUUUAUCAUUAAUAACAUCCAUUGCUUGUGUGGUCCAUCACAUAUGAACCAUUGGUUACAAACGGAUCAUAGAGAAAAUACAUUCAAUUGAUUUUGAAUAUUUUCUUCUUGAGUCAUAUUCAACAAUUUUAUUAUAGUGCAAAAACUUCGAACUUAAUUAUUUUCAACAUUUUUUUUUUGCCAUUUUGAUAUUAGAUUGUUAAAAUAAUAACCAAAUUCAUUUGUUGAUAUGAUAAAAUAAGUGAGAGAAAAAUCAUCAUAGUUAAAAUAUAUAAAUAAUUCAGUAAUAUAGUUGCUCAAUUUCAUCCUUGAGAGGCCAUUAACAAAAAUGAGGCUUUCCUUUUUUUUUUUUUUCCUUCAAAUGAUUUCUUAUUGAUAAAGAGCAACAUUCUAAAUUAUAUAAGCGUAUAUUUGAUAUUACGUGAAAUUUUUU
rnacentral:lncRNA from 1 species